UGGAGGAGGAGAGAUUGCGGGCGAAGAGGACUUAGCCGAGCAGUCGGCGAAGGAGGAGCCCAAGGCGAACCAGCCGCAUCCCCUCGAGCACUCGUGGACUUUAUGGUUCGAUAACCUUGCCACAAAAUCGAAGCAGAUGGCCUGGGGUGCCUCCAUGCGCCCGAUCUACACUUUCUCUACCAUCGAAGAGUUCUGGAGGUGAAAAAUUUUGCGUUUUUCUCUCGAAUUUUGGGAACCCAGCUCUGAAGUCGACUGAGUUGUGGUUGGGUUGUUCUCUUUUCUGGGUGAAAAAAUUUUGCGUUUUUCUCUCGAAUUUUGGGAACCCAGCUCUAGAGUCGAUUGAGUUGUGGUUGCGUUUUUCUCUCGAAUUUGGGGAACCCAGCUCUAGAGUCGAUUGAGUUGUAGUUGCUCUGCCAUUAUGGUUUUGAGGAGUGUCUGUAGAGGACUCUGGUUGAUUUUGAAUGCACUGACCUAUGAUAGAGAAUCCACGUUUCAUUGUACAAUAUAUUUGUUCAUGUGUCCAUCGAUGUCUUGUCUUCUUCGUGAUCAACAUGAACAAUGGAAGCAACCUACAGUAAAUGCAUCUAGAAGGUACUUUUAAUUGUCUUAAUUCAGCAAGUCCUGUUUCAAUUUAUUAUUUGUGCACUUGUCUUAAUCUAAUUUGUCUCAUUCUUUUGGUCCUCUGGUGGUCUGGUGGUGUUCAAGUGUUAAAGUUUUUCGUUGCCAAUUGCCUCGUGACAAUCUACUUAAGUGAACCCCCACGACAUGAUGGGAGUGGCAAACCUUUAGAGAGUGGAGCUCCACUCUGUAACUGGUGUGGAACAUGGAAAGGAGAUAAAAUUUGUGGUAGCUGCAGAGAAGCACGAUACUGCUCUGAAAAAUAUCAGGCCAUGCAUUGGCGCUCAGGUGUGCCAAAAUAGUAGUAGAAAUGCAGGAAACUCAUCAGCAGAACACCACAAAUCUGCAAGCAGGAGUCUAUGGCCCGAACACAAGAUCGUCAAUGAGGAUGAGGCUAAAUAUGAUGUCGAUGUGUCUGCUGAUUUGGAUAAUACCAAUUGUCUGGUAUCCAGAAACCAGAUGGAUGACUCAAUAAAUUCACUUAUUGAGAGUUUCCAGGCCUUGAUUGCAAUUGUUGCUAGCUUGGAAAUCAUCCGCCGUGGGAUUUGGAAUUUUUUUAGGUAUGCUGUGUUCUUUUUCCCU